AUUGAACGCUGGCGGCACGCUUAACACAUGCAAGUCGAACGGCAGCAGACCUAGCUUGCUAGGUGCUGGCGAGUGGCGAACGGGUGAGUAACGCGUAGGAAUCUGCCCUAAAGCGGGGGAUAACUCGGGGAAACUCGAGCUAAUACCGCGUAAAAACUAAGGUUAAAAGUAUGCCACUUAACAAUGCAUACGCUUUAGGAUGAGCCUGCGUUAGAUUAGCUAGUUGGUGGGGUAAAGGCCUACCAAGGCGACGAUCUAUAGCUGGUCUGAGAGGACGAACAGCCACACUGGGACUGAGACACGGCCCAGACUCCUACGGGAGGCAGCAGUGGGGAAUAUUGGACAAUGGGGGCAACCCUGAUCCAGCGAUGCCGCGUGUGUGAAGAAGGCCUGCGGGUUGUAAAGCACUUUCAAUGGUGAGGAGAGAGACAGCUCGAAUAGGGUUGUUUUGAG
rnacentral:rRNA from 1 species